GGUUUCCGGGGUUAACUCCAACCCCUGUGACAUACCACUUGUUGCCUCGGCGGAUCAGCCCGCUCCCGGUAAAACGGGACGGCCCGCCAGAGGACCCCUAAACUCUGUUUCUAUAUGUAACUUCUGAGUAAAACCAUAAAUAAAUCAAAACUUUCAACAACGGAUCUCUUGGUUCUGGCAUCGAUGAAGAACGCAGCAAAAUGCGAUAAGUAAUGUGAAUUGCAGAAUUCAGUGAAUCAUCGAAUCUUUGAACGCACAUUGCGCCCGCCAGUAUUCUGGCGGGCAUGCCUGUUCGAGCGUCAUUUCAACCCUCAAGCACAGCUUGGUGUUGGGACUCGCGUUAAUUCGCGUUCCUCAAAUUGAUUGGCGGUCACGUCGAGCUUCCAUAGCGUAGUAGUAAAACCCUCGUUACUGGUAAUCGUCGCGGCCACGCCGUUAAACCCCAACUUCUGAAUGUUGACCUCGGAUCAGGUAGGAAUACCCGCUGAACUUAAGCAUAUCAAUAAGUCGGAGGAA
rnacentral:rRNA from 1 species